CUACACACUAAAAAUACACGAUAGGUAUUGUUUUGUGUAGGUUAUGGGUUCAUAUUUUCACUCAUUCUCUAUCAUAGAAUUAGAACUUUAUUUCCGGAAUGGCUUUCUCCUCUGGACUAUUGCUUCAGUCUCUAACUGUAUCCCUAAGAAUCUUACCAUUCUUUAAAUGGCACACCUAACUAACUUUGCAGCUACUGGACUGAUCUGGCUAAUCUCAUUAUACCACAAUCAGUGCAUAAAAACACACAUUGACCCUCAACAAUUGUCCCUCCUGUUGAGACUUCAUCUUCCCAGUUCUCUAUCUCAAAUGUGAAAUUCAACCACACUGAAAUUCAACCACAAAACUUUAAAAGUUUUGCUCUCACUGUUUGUUUGCCAUGCCACCCUUGAACUUCUUAUAUUUGUAACAUCUUCAGUCAUUUUUGAACACUUACCUAAGAGAAAUCUUUCUUGACCUCUUAUGGUUUUCUAUUCAGCUCCCCAUAUUUCCAACUCACAUUGCACUAUAACCACUUACUGGGCUAUUCACCAGACUACAAGAAUUUUGUAAGCAGUAAGUUUGGGUGAUCCAUAUAGAAAGCCUAGCCCUGAAAACAAUGUUUGCC
rnacentral:lncRNA from 1 species